CGGAGUGGCGGAAUAGGCAGACGCGCACGACUCAAAAUCGUGUUCCUUCGGGAUUGUGGGUUCGAUUCCCACCUUCGGCAUUCCA
rnacentral:tRNA from 1 species